AGAAACCCCAGUGAUGAAAAAUACAGAUCCAUCCGCAUUGGAAACACAGCCUUUUCUACUAGACUCUUGCCUGUCAGAGGAGCUGUUGAGUGUUUAUUUGAAAUGGGCUUUGAAGAGAGAGGAUGCCUCCUCCACAUGGUCCCACCACUAUGAUAUUCUGCCUGGCUGUGGGCCCAGAAACAUGUUGCCAAGUAACUAGGGAGAAACACACCUUAUCUUUCCUAAAAAAGCUUCAGUGGAACAGCUUCAGAAAAUCCGUGACCUGAUUGCUGUAGAGAGAAGGAGCAGACUGGAUGGAUCAAGUCAGAAGGUGGAGUUCUCUCAGCACCCUGCUGCUGUCAGGCUUCCUGCCGAGCAGCCUGAGGAUCCUACAGGAUUAAUGCAGCACUCAGGAAACCAACCUGGGCAGCCGCUGAGCCUACCCUCUGCUCCACUGGUUGUUGGUGAUUCAACCAUCUUUAAAGUUCUUCAGUCCAACAUUCAGCACGUGCAGCUCUAUGAAAAUCCUGUCCUCCAGGAGAAAGCCUUGGCUUGUAUCCCAGUCA
rnacentral:lncRNA from 1 species